GAUUAAGAACGUAGUGAAAUGCGAUAAGUAAUGUGAAUUGCAGAAUUCAGUGAAUCAUCGAAUCUUUGAACGCACAUUGCGCCCGUCAGUAUUCUGGCGGGCAUGCCUGUUCGAGCGUCAUUACGCCCCUCAAGUCCCCUGUGGACUUGGUGUUGGGGAUCGGCGAGGCUGGUUUUCCAGCACAGCCGUCCCUUAAAUUAAUUGGCGGUCUCGCCGUGGCCCUCCUCUGCGCAGUAGUAAAACACUCGCAACAGGAGCCCGGCGCGGUCCACUGCCGUAAAACCCCCCAACUUUUUAUAGUUGACCUCGAAUCAGGUAGGACUACCCGCUGAACUUAAGCAUAUCAAUAAGCGGAGGA
rnacentral:misc_RNA from 1 species